UCAAAUUUAGAUAAGGGUGGUGUAAUAGGCCGAUUUUGGUCGGGCCCAAAUAAAAAUAAAACAAAUUCACUUAAACAAAUAAAAGUCCAAAAAAAUUACAAUCCAUUUUUCUUACAAAUAUCAUAGCCCAAUUCAGACUCAAAUUAACCCAUUACAUAUCAAGCCCAAACUCUAAAUCCAAACUAAACCCUAGCCUACAAAACUUAAAAAAAAUUCAGCCAAAAGAAACCCUAAUAUAGCCGCCGCUCCUAGCUGCCGCCCUUAGGCCUGCUCCUGGCCACCGCACGCCAACCACCUCCACAUGUGUCGCAUGCCUCUGACACCUGCAGAGAGAAAUCAAUGUAAAACAUCAGAAGAAACAACUAAAAAAACAAAAAAAUAGAAAUUAAAAGUUGUAACUUGGCUAUAAAACCCG
rnacentral:lncRNA from 1 species